ACUUUUAAUAAUAGAUCUCUUAGUUCUAGCAUUAAUAAAGAACGUAGCGAAAUGCGAUAAGUAGUGUAAAUUGUAGAAUUUAGUAAAUUAUUAAAUCUUUAAACGCACAUUACGCCCCUUAGUAUUCUAUAGGGCAUGCCUAUUUAAGCGUUAUUUGUACCCUUAAGCUCUGCUUAGUAUUAGGUGUUUGUUCUACUUAGGACUUGCCUUAAAACAAUUAGCAGCUAGCACAUUAGCCUAGAGCGCAGCACAUUUUACGCCUCUUGUUAUAGUUAUUAGUAUCUAUUAAGACACUUUUUAAGCUCUUAACCUUAGAUUAGGUAGGGAUACCUACUAAACUUAAGCAUAUUAAUAAGCGGAGGAAAAGAAACUAACAGGGAUUGCCCUAGUAAUGGCAAGUAAAGCGGCAACAGCUUAAAUUUAAAAUCUAGCUCUUUUAGGGUCCAAGUUGUAAUUUGCAGAGGGCGCUUUAGCGUUAGCAGUAGUCCAAGUUCCUUAGAACAGGAUGUUAUAGAGGGUAAGAAUCCUAUACGUAGUUACUAGCCUUCGCCGUGUAAAGCCCCUUUAAUAAGUUAAGUUAUUUAGGAAUAUAGCUCUAAAUAGGAGGUAAAUUUCUUCUAAAGCUAAAUACUAGCUAGAGACUAAUAGCGCACAAGUAGAGUAAUUAAAAGAUAAAAAGCACUUUAGAAAGAGAGUCAAAUAGCACGUGAAAUUGUUAAAAGGGAAGCGCUUGCAGCUAGACUUACCUGUAGUUACUUAUCUAGGCUUUUGUCUAGUGCACUCUUCUAUAGGCAGGCUAGCAUUAGUUUAGGUAGUUAGAUAAAGGUCUCUAUUACGUACCUCCCUUUAGGGAGGCCUUAUAGGGGAGACAACAUACAACUAGCCUAGACUAAGGUCUGCGCAUCUGCUAGGAUGCUAGCAUAAUAGCUAUAAGCGGCCCGUCUUAAAACACAGACUAAGAAGUCUAAUAUCUAUACAAGUGUUUAGGUGUUAAGCCUAGACGCGUAAUAAAAGUAAACAGAGGUAGGAACCCUUUUAGGGUGCACUAUUAACUAAUCCUAAUAUCUUUAGAAGGAUUUAAGUAAGAGCAUAGCUAUUAGGACCUAAAAGAUAGUAAACUAUGCUUAAAUAGGGUAAAGCUAGAGGAAACUCUAGUAAAGGCUCGCAGCAGUUCUAAUAUGCAAAUUAAUCGUUAAAUUUAGGUAUAGGGGCGAAAGACUAAUUAAACUAUCUAGUAGCUAGUUCCUACUAAAGUUUCCCUUAGGAUAGCAGUAACGUAUUUAGUUUUAUAAGGUAAAGCGAAUAAUUAGAGGCCUAGGAGUUAAAACAACCUUUACCUAUUCUUAAACUUUAAAUAUAUAAGAAGUCCUUAUUACUUAAUUAAACGUAGACACUUAAAUGUACUAUUACUAGUAGGCUAUUUUUGGUAAGCAGAACUAGCAAUACAGGAUAAACCAAACGCGAGGUUAAGGUGCUAGAAUGCACGCUUAUUAGACACCACAAAAGGUGUUAGUUUAUCUAGACAGCAGGACAGUAGCUAUAGAAGUUAGAAUCCGCUAAGGAGUGUGUAACAACUUACCUGCUAAAUAAACUAGCCCUAAAAAUAGAUAGCGCUUAAGCGUGUUACCUAUACCCCGCCGCUAGGGCAAGAUUUAAGCCCUAGCGAGUAGGCAGGCGUAGAGGCUCGUAACAAAGCCUUAGGGGUAACCCUAGGUAGAACAGCCUCUAGUGUAGAUCUUAGUAGUAGUAGCAAAUACUUAAAUAAGAACUUUAAGGACUAAAGUAGGGAAAGGUUCUGUGUAAAUAGCAGUUAGAUACAGGUUAGUUAAUCCUAAGAGAUAGGGUAAUUCUAUUUUAAUAUUAGUGCUUGCGCCGCGCCCUUAAAAGGGAAGCUAGUUAAUAUUCUAGCACCUAGAUGUAGAUUCUCCGCGGCAACGCAACUAAGAGCAGAGACCUUAGCAGGAGCCCUAAGAAGAGUUCUCUUUUCUUCUUAACAGUCUAUUACCCUAAAAUUAGUUUGUCUAGAGCUAGGGUUUAAUAGCUAGAAGAGCGCUAUACUUUUGCGGUAUUUAGUGCGCUCCUAACAAGCCUUAAAAAUCUACUUAAAGAAAUAGUUUUUACGCUAGGUUGUACUUAUAACCGCAGCAGGUCUCUAAGGUAAAAAGCCUCUAGUUAAUAGAAUAAUGUAGAUAAGGGAAGUUAGCAAAAUAGAUCUAUAACUUUAGGAAAAGGAUUAGCUCUAAGGGUUAGGUACGUUGGGCCUUAGGGAGAAGCCUCUAGCGUAGAAGGGCACUAACCGCAAGGUAGGCGCCUCUUAGCGCUAGGGUGCAGACACCCUUAGCAGGUUUUGGCCGUCUAGCGUAUAUUUAACAACUAACUUAGAACUAGUACAAAUAAGGGGAAUCUAACUAUCUAAUUAAAAUAUAGUAUUACAAUAGCUAGAAAGUAGUAUUAACGCAAUAUAAUUUCUGCCUAGUGCUCUAAAUAUUAAAGCAAAGAGAUUUAACUAAGCGCAGGUAAACGGCGGGAGUAACUAUAACUCUCUUAAGGUAGCUAAAUACCUUAUUAUCUAAUUAGUGACGCGCAUAAAUAGAUUAACAAGAUUCCUACUAUCCCUAUCUACUAUCUAGCAAAACUAUAGCUAAGGGAACAGGCUUAGCUAAAUUAGCGGGGAAAGAAGACCCUAUUAAGCUUAACUCUAGUUUAACAUUAUAAAAAAAUAUAGGGGGUGUAGAAUAGGUAGGAGCUUUAGCGCUAGUAAAAUACUACUACCCUUAUUGUUUUUUUACUUAUUUAAUAAAGCAGAGCUAGGCCUUACUACCUAACUUCUAGCGUUUAAGGUCCUUUAUAGGCUAAUCUAGGUUAAAGAUAUUAUUAGGUAGGGAGUUUAGCUAGGGCAGCACAUCUAUUAAACUAUAACGCAGGUGUCCUAAGGGGGACUUAUAGAGAAUAGAAAUCUCUAGUAGAGCAAAAGGGCAAAAGUCCCCUUAAUUUUAAUUUUUAGUGUGAAUACAAACUAUAAAAGUGUAGCCUAUUAAUCCUUUAGUCCCUUAAAAUUUAAGGCUAGAGGUACUAGAAAAGUUACUACAGGGAUAACUAGCUUAUAGCAGCUAAGCGUUUAUAGCGACGUUGCUUUUUAAUCCUUUAAUAUUAGCUCUUUCUAUUAUACUAAAGCAGAAUUUAGUAAGCGUUAGAUUGUUUACCCACUAAUAGGGAACGUAAGCUAGGUUUAGACCGUUGUAAGACAGGUUAGUUUUACCCUACUAAUAACCUUGCCCUAAUAGUAAUACUGCUUAGUACAAGAGGAACCGCGGUUUUAGAUAAUUAGUUUUUACAGCUAUCUAACUAGGCAUUGCCGCAAAGCUACUAUCUGCUAGAUUAUAGCUAAACGCCUCUAAGUUAGAAUCUAUGCUAGAACAGGGUAAUUUCCGCCUGCACUAGUUAGAUACAAAUAGGCCUUUAGCCCAGAACCUUACUAGAUUAGCGUUAGCAGCCCUAUUAAAGUUAGGGUUGUUAGCUAGUGUAUUACAAUUGUAUAGUACGCAGGAUUAAAUCCUUUAUAGAUAACUUAGUUGUCUAGCCAGGUCGUGUAAGUAGUUAAGUAGCCUUGUUAUUACGAGCUACUAAGCGUAAGCCUGUUGCUAGCUUAGUUAAAAUUAGGAUAUUAUGCCCUCCUUAUUUGCAAAACUGCUGCCUAAAUAGCUGCUAUUAAUAGAAGGAAGAGGGCCAUAGCAAAUAAGUUAUAUAGUAAUUGCAAGAUAGAGAGGGCUAGAGCUAGGAGCAAUCCUCGCAAAAUAUACAAAAGAACAGGUUAUGUGUGUACGUACCUUAGGCAGUUAAUAUAUAGUAUAGGAAGAUUAAGAAAGGAUUUAAGAUAAUUUAUAUAGAUUUUUAGGCGGUGAUCUAUAACUUAAGAGCGUUCUAUAACUUUUUAUUUUUUAGGGGUAGUGUUCUAUAACUCUAGGGCGUUCUAUAACUUUAGGGCGUUCUAUAACUUUAGGGCGUUCUAUAACUUUUUAUUUUUUAGGGGUAGUGUUCUAUAACUUUAGGGCGUUCUAUAACUUUAGGGCGUUCUAUAACUUUAGGGCGUUCUACAACUUUUUAUUUUUUAGGGGUAGUGUUCUAUAACUUUAGGGCGUUCUAUAACUUUAGGGCGUUCUAUAACUUUAGGGCGUUCUAUAACUUUAGGGCGUUCUACAACUUUUUAUUUUUUAGGGGUAGUGUUCUAUAACUUUAGGGCGUUCUAUAACUUUAGGGCGUUCUAUAACUUUAGGGCGUUCUACAACUUUUUAUUUUUUAGGGGUAGUGUUCUAUAACUUUAGGGCGUUCUAUAACUUUUUAUUUUUUAGGGGUAGUAUUCUAUAACUUUAGGGCUUUCUAUAACUUUAGGGCGUUCUAUAACUUUAGGGCGUUCUACAACUUUUUAUUUUUAGGGGUAGCGUUCUAUAACUUUAGGGCGUUCUAUAACUUUAGGGCCUUCUAUAAGCUUAGGGCGUUCUAUAACUUUAGGGCGUUCUAUAACUUUAGGGCGUUCUAUAACUUUUUAUUUUUUAGGGUUAGUGUUCUAUAACUUUAGCGCGUUCUAUACCUUUUAUUUAUUCUAUUACUUUAGUCCUUUCUAUAACUUUAGACUAUUCUAUACUAGUAGCUAUUAUAUCCUUUUUAUAAUACUUAUUAUAUUAUACUAUUAUCUAUUAUUCUUUACUAUUAAGUAUAUCCUUAUAUUUUAUAAAACCUUUUCUCUACUAGCUAGUCCUACUAUACUUUCUUUUAUAACCUACUAGUAUUAAAUAAUACCUUUAUAUUCUUCUUUUAUACUAUCUCUAUUUCUUGCCUUAUCUAUUAAGUAGAUAUAGAUAGAGCUAAUAGAUCUAUAGUUAAUAUAGAUACAGUAGUUAUAGUAGAGUAUAGAUAUUAGAGUAGAUAUCCUUAUCUAUAUAUUUACCUACUACUAAUAAAAUUCUAAGUUACUCUUAUCUAGCAAAUACAGGUUUAUGGUUUAUAUAGGGCUACGCAUGUCUACACAGUUUUAUAUACAAAAAAGUGUACCUCUAAGCUAUUUUCCGCCACACUAACCCCGCAACGCGAAAAUUAAACCAAAACCUGUUCCUAUAAUAUAUAAGGAGGGCAAAUAGAUUCUUAAAUACUAAAUACCUAACUAACUAACUAAGGUUAAAUCUGCUGCGCGCAGUUCUUGGAUCAGGCGGUUAAACUAGCGUUAUUAGGCACUAAGGGGGCAAUUUUUGCUCGUGUCCGCGUCUAUACUCCCUACAACUCCCUAUUAUUAGCGCUCUGCGCCUAUUUUAGCGGCAGUUAGACUAAAUUUAAAAGUUUUAGUUUUAUAAUAGCUAGCCUUGUUUCCUAGAUUUCUGCCUAGUUUGGAUUCGCUCUAAUUAGUAGGUAAUUAGGGGCUUAGAGAUUGCUCUUCUACUUAACUAGGCAGGCCUAGGCCUAUAUGCUAAAGCAACCCUACUAUUGCGCCUAGUUUUGUGGUUAGCACCUAAAGUCCUACUGUUAAAGUUUUAGCAGUAGGCAAAAUUUAGGGUCUGUAGAUAGCUAGCACUGCCAAACUAUUUAACAGAUCUUAGGGGACAGCCCUGCCUAGCAUCCGCUCCUAGUAAGCGUAGCAAAGCAUAGGUUUUCUCUACUUAAGGCAUGUAUGUGGCGAGUUUAAACACGCAGAAACGCCUGUUAGGCUUUAUUGCGGACUAUUCCUUAAGAAACUUAGUAGGGGCAAUUAAAUUAGUUGCUAGUUGUAACUAGUGCCUUGUGUGCUAUUAUACUAGUAGCUAGAAUCGCUUCUGCGAUUUCUUAUCACGUACUUUCCACCUCCUUUUAGGGGUAGUGCUUGUGCGCUUUAGCGUAUUAGGUAUUAGGAUUAUUACCUAGUUAAUUCUGCUAGUAGUUAUAUGCUUGU
rnacentral:rRNA from 1 species